rnacentral:tRNA from 3 species
GGCUGAGUAGCUCAGUGGUAGAGCAGGAGAAUCAUAAUCUCUUGGUCGGGGGUUCAAAUCCCUCCUCAGCCACCA